rnacentral:tRNA from 1 species
GCUGGGUUAGCUCAGUGGUUAGAGCUUAAGUCUCGUAACGGGAAGAUCCCGGGAUCGAGUCCCGCUAGAGGCA